rnacentral:sRNA from 1 species
CCAGAACCAUGCUUAGGAUUGCAUUGCCCUGGAGCACAUGAGGAGGCCAGGGCCCUCUAAUGCAGUUCAGCGAGUGGAGACGAUGGGCGUGGGAAAUAAAAGCAGGUCAUUCACUCUUUUUUCUCAUCACCCUCUAACUUCCUUUUGGUUCCCUCACUCUUUCUGUGUUCUUUUUUCCUUCCCUAAUUCUUCACCUCCCCCUCCUCUGCUGCCUCCUUGCUCUCCUCGCAGGUCAAGUUUAUCCAUGGGGGAACCAGUUCCAGCCAAACCGCACCAACCUGUGGCAGGGCAAGUUCCCAAAGGGAGACAAAGCUGAGGAUGGCUUCCAUGGAGUCUCCCCAGUGAAUGCUUUCCCCGCCCAGAACAACUACGGGCUCUAUGACCUCCUGGGGAACGUGUGGGAGUGGACAGCAUCACCGUACCAGGCCGCUGAGCAGGACAUGCGCGUCCUCCGGGGGGCAUCCUGGAUCGACACAGCUGAUGGCUCUGCCAAUCACCGGGCCCGGGUCACCACCAGGAUGGGCAACACUCCAGAUUCAGCCUCAGACAACCUUGGUUUCCGCUGUGCUGCAGACGCAGGUCGGCCACCAGGGGAGCUAUAAGCAGCCGGAUGGUGACAAGGAGAAAAGCCCUCCAGGGUCACUGUCAUUCCCUGGCCAUGUUGCAAACAGUGCAAUUCCAAGCUCGGGAGCUUCAGCCUCAGGAAAGAACUUCCCCUUCCCUGUCUCCCAUCCCUC